CGCGUAGGUGGUUUGAUAAGUUGGAUGUGAAAUCCCCGGGCUUAACCUGGGUCGGUCAUCCAAAACUGUCAGACUAGAGUAUGGUAGAGGGUAGUGGAAUUCCUAGUGUAGCGGUGAAAUGCGUAGAUAUUAGGAGGAACACCAGUGGCGAAGGCGACUGCCUGGACUGAUACUGACACUGAGGUGCGAAAGCGUGGGUAGCGAACAGGAUUAGAUACCCUGGUAGUC
rnacentral:rRNA from 1 species